CCACUUUCAAAAUAAACGGCUCAUAUAUUAACUUCUACAAUAAAUCCAUAAAGUUCGCAAUGUACGGAUUAAUUUUCGAAAAUGUAACGCAACCAAUCGUAAAUACUUUGCAACGAUUUCGAGUCGCGACUUCGACGAAAGCAACGCGAAAAGAGCUUUCGUUAACAUCACCGAAGUGUUCUUUCAUUUUUUUUUACGUCCGUUCCGCUGUCACAGCGUUCCGCAGCUUUUCCCUAUGGCUCGUGUGCGAGAAAACUCGAAACACCGCCUUACUGCCAUUUAACGUGGCGCCUACGAAGUUCCCCCUAUCCCAAAGCCACGUCUACUACCCGUGCCCAUUGUCGGCAUGCAAAUCGCCUAAUAGCUCGUUUUAAUAAUAUCCAUGAAAUGGCGAUGGUCCCGCGUUACAAAUAGCUGUAUCGUACAUAACGCGUUAUAAACGACCGUAUAAAACAGAGGUCCGCGCGAUCUAACCGACCUGAAGCGGUCUAAAAGAUCUAACCGGUCUAAACGGUCUAAGAGAGCUAAGCGGUCACAGUAUCACGGAUCUAAUUGCAAGUGCUCUCGGGUAGUGGCAACAGCGAUACAUACGUAUAUUUGCACUACUUAACCUUUAGACGGCGUACGUUUUUCAGUAUUUGUAGCAGCCACCGGCUAGAUCCAUUCAUUUUCAUAUAACAUCCUCGUUGAGAUCAAAGUGAAUCCUUUUAUUGAUUUCAAUAUUAACAGUUAAUAAUUACGUAUAACUGCCACAAAGUUAUAAUUUAAAUGGAAUGUUUGUAACUCUCGGCCCAAAUAAUCCCGGCGCCCGUCAUCCGAGGAGCGCAUCUUUUUGGUUAGAACAGAACUGCGGCGCUAGUAGUGAAAAAUGUCAGUACCUCGAGGUGGUGUUUCACAUCCACUAUCCGUACGUCUUUUAAUUAAAAACAGCGGCGUUCGAGGAUAACCGUAAAACGAUGAAUACCCGAGACGCAGAGGAACGGAAGCCUGCGAAAACGAACGGGAGAAGGAGAGAAAGAAGAAGGAUGCAACGCGAAGAGUCGCUGUUGUCCUCUCGGACGGCGAACCUUUUAAUCGUUUCCGACUUUCUAAAUUGAUUGAGACGACGGUGUUCGCGGUUGCAUCGCCGUUAAUCUCGUGAAAUCGGUCGAUUUAUCGGUUCUCAAUUUGUCCGUUGCUGACGCAAGAGGCUGAACGGCGCUCCGCAACACGAUCAAGAGGGACCGCCUAACAAGAAUGAUGAAAUGUAGAUUAUCGCCAGCAUGGCGAUUCGGAAAUUCGCUGAUUCGGUGUGGGUUGUCGCUACACGGAAGAGUUGAAAAGUCGCGCGUCACGUCCAGGUCCACGUCCACGUCCAGUGCCGCUGCCACGUUGCGUCGCGCCAGGAAAAAUGAUACUGUUGGCCGCUGAAACGAAAUACCAUCGUCAGUUUUAUGGAAUAUUUGUCGAGUCGUAAACGAGAAAUCAAUCUGUUACGUUUGCCGUUGAUGCAGUCGUCGAUACGUUUAGGCUUUGGCCGUUCGAAUCGAAGGAAGACGCGGCGUCGCGACCGACAGGGGAUGAAAGAGAUUACAUACAUGCGCGAGCUGGAGCCAAAUUCGGUUGGCACUUUCGGAGAGGUUUCGUCGAGAUCGGCAUCGAUAUCGAGAAUUUCUACGCGUUGGCCGUUACCGAUUCCCCAGCGAGAACAGUUUGACGCCAGUUCGAGCGAUCCAGACCGAUUCCUCGUGAAAUCAGUUAACUCCGCAAGUAUCACGGUCGCAGUUGAGUCCCCGUGGCGGCACGUUCCCUCGGGAGAACGCAGGACGGACCAUCGAUUUUCCAAGCUCCGAUCUACCGAGCAGAAGUGAAUCAGUUUAGUCGGUUAGAAAUGUACGAUUAAUUGAAUCUUUGCUCGUGGUAUCGUCGAAUGUUCAGCUUUUCUCGCCUUGUUCGAUAACGCGAGCGCCGUGUUACGGCCGGUGUUACGCCCUCCGGUUGGCGCAUACGCGUUUUCGAGGAACGCGUACGGCGCAUCGGUGUGGCAUUCCCGUCUUGUAAUUAGAAUUUAUCGUUUUUGUACUCGAUCGAGUGUGGACGAUCUUGCGCGGUCGAACGGAAGGGAAAUCGAGUAGGUGCGCGUAUCUCGUAACUAACGUAACGAGCACGCGUCGAGCGAACCGACCCGGGUCGCAAAUAUAUUGUUGCUCGUUGUUGUUCGUUGCUCUUCGCUCGUUGGUGUCGUCGUUGUUGCUAGAAUUGACGUAUCGAUGCGAUAUAAACUCCGGUAGACUUUUCAAUAAAAUGCUUUUAGAUCGAACAGAGUCGAUGCACGUGCAAAUUACGCGCACGCUCUGCUAUAGCCUGCGGCCCCAAGAAAAAAAUCAAUGGUUAAAAUGCCUCGUUACUCGUUGGAAACGCGAAAAUUAAUGUUCGCUAAAUUCGACCGUUACUCUUAUUGCCGAUAAUGAAAUUUGAUAACGCUUUGAUAACGUGUGACGCUUUUAUACUAUAUAUGUAUACAUAUAUAUGUACACAUGUAUACGUAUAUGUAUAAGUAUGCGUAGAUCGAAUAAACCUUCCGACGCUUAAAUUCUCUCGUUCAGAGUGUGUUUCCUACUACGGACAUUUAUUUCGUGGUUCAUCGAUAAUCGGGUCUUCGUAACUGUCGACCCAUUCGUAAUCUGUUUACGAGCUAGACCGGAGGAACCUCGGGACUCGGAACAUCGGAGAGAAAAAGAAGCAUGCGACGAUGAAAAUGGGCCACGGUGUUUGCUGUUUCGAUAAAAAAAGAAAACAGAAGAACGUGACUCGGUCGCAUUGCAGGGUGCACGAAAAUGUACCCUCCGUCGAUAAGUAGGAAUCUACUCUAUUGACCGAUGGAACAAAUUCGAAGAUACGCCGACUGACGGCAACAGAUCAAUAGACGAAUGGACAGUUUAAACAAUUUCGGCCAAAAUUGUUUAAUAUAAUCGAUACAAUUUUAUGGUUUAGUUAAUUUUUACUUAAAUUUGACUAGGAAAAGUCAACGAAUGUUAAAAAAUUCAUUUAAUGGGUUUCGAUCAGGAGUAGCGUCAAUUAAAUAAAUUUUAUAAUAGAAA